UUGAGUGGCCAGUUUGAAAUUGAUGUCAAUUUGAAAAAUGGAUAAAGGCAACUGCUCUUGGUCGUCACUAAAUAAGCCGUUGGUUUGACUGAAACCAAAGCAAUAAGUGGCGCGGAGUGAGUUAGCAUUUUGUCAGAAGCGUGACAGUGGACUUUUACCAGGUGAUAUCAACGAAAGAAAACUUGGGUGAAUACGUACAAUAUUCUUAAAAAGGAUCAAGGGCGGAGUGAUUAGCGGGGAUCUGAUGACGAUUACCGACCGGUCGAGCUGCCCUGCAUAUCCUUUCAAUUUUCAUAAACAAAUGCAAACGCAUAUAGUAAAUGAAUAAAAAGACGACCCUCCUCCUCCUCGCGCGCUUGUGUCCAUCGCGGAGAAAAGGUGUAACUAAACUCGCGGGUUUGGGCCGUACCCGAUCCAAUGAAGGUCUUGUUAUGGAACCGGGCGGGUUUGGUGCGAGGCUGAGGCAUGACAGAAGGUGGACGAAGGUGGCUGUUCGUGCUGCUGUACAUGUUAUUUUUAUCUACAAUGCUUGUCUGUUUAUUUGUCAACGCAUGUUCCGCCCAUCCAUGCUCUCUACCUUCCCACAUGUUCGGGUGGUGCCCGGGGUGGGCACCAUCUGAGCUGCAGUCCUGGUGAAGACCCAUGGCAGGGUGACAUCGCAAAUGGGUUAUACAAACUGCAUCAUCAUGGGUGGAGAUUUCAGUGUCACCCAACACAGCUCAACAUGGAGAAAAGACCUUGGCCACCCCUCAGAGGCCAACAUGGAUAACAGACUCAUUGAUGGACUUUGUCUUCAUUCUUAAUCCCAGCAUAUACCUUCCUUUUAGCAAGCAUGUCCACUCUUUUCUGUUUUCGGUAAUGUUAGUCUGCCCGGGG